rnacentral:sRNA from 1 species
AAACAAAAAACACGCAGGCUACUGUUACUGUUAUUGUUUGUUCCCCACUACCUGAUGGUAAGGACCUAUUGCUGAAAAUGGUUAAAAGUCAAGCUGGUUUUAAGUGAAGCUUUCACUCCUACUGAAUAAUGUUUUUUAGUAUUGGAAGGUACCUUUGAGUGCUCCCAACAGAAAAAGUUAAUCACCAAACCAGCUACAAAUCUGGUGAUCUAAGUGGAUUUUGCGUGACCAACAAUGAGGGAGUAACCAACCACUACCUGAUGGGAAUUGACAGCCAAUGGACCUAGUCCAUAUACACUUCAAGGUCUUCAGAUACCUGGCAGAGAAUCCAAGCUUAACAGUAUGGUCAGAAAAACUAAUCACUUUUUGCAGGAAAAAAUGGCCAGAAGGUCUAUUAGCUCUUUAUAUUUUUAAUUUUAACUCCUGUACUAUAGAAUGUCUGGGUCCCCUUGGAGGGAUAUCUGAGUCUAUGAAAACUGCAUCUGCUGGCUGUUGACACCUUCACUUAGCUUUACGUCAUUUCAAGCAUAUUUAGAAAAGAAGUGGCUGAACAGAGGAGAACAAACACUGAUAAACUGGGGCUGCCCUUGGAGCCCAGCCUCCCACUUGAAUCAUGUUAGCAGCAAGUCAGCUUGGUCUGUGCCAGCUGCCCUGGAAAAGGUCAGAAGAUUCUCAGCCUCUCCACUAAGAAAGCAGAUAGCUACAAAAUAUCUGUGCCUGUGUAAACUGGAUUCAACAGCAUGAAGAAUUUCCAGGAUGAAUACAUAAUCCAUUAAUGGCUUCAUUGGAGGACUUGAAGAUGCUCCUGGUAGAUGGUCAAUGCCAAGCAGCUUAACUGAAUAAACAGGAAGACUUUUUUAUGAUUUACAGUAUAUACAGCUUCAAAACUGGAGUCCAGAAUGAAAACUUCGAGUGUCUCUGAUUAGGAGUUAUGGACAAACAGAAGACUUCAUAAGAGAAUGUUCUAAAGUAUUUUUUCAUAUUAUUUGCUAUGAAGCAAUUUCCUCUGAUAUUGAAAUAACCAUCCUGUAAGGAAUCUCCUUAAACCAGAAGAUAAACAACUCAAAGUAGUCAGGAAGUCCCUGAAACGGACCAGAUUCAUUAUGUCAUGGUCAUUACCUCCCCACCCCAUCCCCAAAUUCCCAAUCCAAGAGUAAGCAAUAAAACUUCUGAGAGUUGCUCUCAGACAAAACAAGCUGCAGAGAAGCCUCCGAGUCAAUAUCAGUUGCCUAGAUGAAGCAGAAAUCAGCAGAGCUGCCUCACAGAGGCACACAUGGAAUUCCAGCCUUGAAAUUAAAAAAUAGGAACAAGCUGUCUAGUGAUACUACCUCUAUUAUCCAGAGUAGUUUGAUUAAUUGAUAGGUUGGGAGAUGAAUCAGGCAUGAUUUCUUAGAGCCACCCCAGGUCUUUAUACACAUGUAUGUAUCCUGUUCUUGCAUAAUCUGUGCAUCUGCAAGCAUAAGGUUGAGGCAUACAUGAACAUAUAUGUGCUUCAUGCACAAAUAUAUGAAAAGAUAAAAAAGUAAUGAAUCCUGUUCUACAGUCUUUCAGACUGUAUUUAUAACUUUAACAUUACACAACUGUAAAACAUACAGUUCAAGCUAAAGUAAAAUAUUCUGUAACAAUACUACAUACUUUAUUACAGGAAUGUACUCCUGAAGCAUAAAGAUUCCUAGUGAUAGUGCCUUAUAUCAAAAAUAGGUUAUGUAAAUUUUAGUUAAUCCUGGGGUGAAACUCUUAAAACAUAUUUAUACACUAUCUUAGCUAAGCUUUUAUUGCUAUGAAGAGACUUUUAUAAAGGACAACAUUCAAUUGCGGCUGGCUUACAUUUUCAGAAGUUCAGACCAUUACCAACAUGGAGGAAAUUAUGGCAGCGUCCAGGAUAACAUCUUGUACUAGGAGGUGCUGAGUGGUCUACCUCUUGUUCCAAAGGCAGCCAGGAGACUAGAUUCAGCGAGCAGCUAUGAGGGAACUCUUCCUCCCUGGGAAGAUCCUGAACAUAGUACCUCAAAACCCAC